UUCCCCUUCGGGGGACAAAGUGACAGGUGGUGCAUGGUUGUCGUCAGCUCGUGUCGUGAGAUGUUGGGUUAAGUCCCGCAACGAGCGCAACCCUUAAGCUUAGUUGCCAUCAUUAAGUUGGGCACUCUAAGUUGACUGCCGGUGACAAACCGGAGGAAGGUGGGGAUGACGUCAAAUCAUCAUGCCCCUUAUGAUUUGGGCUACACACGUGCUACAAUGGACAAUACAAAGGGCAGCGAAACCGUGAGGUCAAGCAAAUCCCAUAAAGUUGUUCUCAGUUCGGAUUGUAGUCUGCAACUCGACUACAUGAAGCUGGAAUCGCUAGUAAUCGUAGAUCAGCAUGCUACGGUGAAUACGUUCCCGGGUCUUGUACACACCGCCCGUCACACCACGAGAGUUUGUAACACCUGAAGCCGGUGGAGUAACCUUUUAGGAGCUAGCCGUCGAAGGUGGGACAAAUGAUUGGGGUGAAGUCGUAACAAGGUAGCCGUAUCGGAAGGUGCGGCUGGAUCACCUCCUUU
rnacentral:rRNA from 1 species